rnacentral:rRNA from 1 species
GACGAACGCUGGCGGCGUGCUUAACACAUGCAAGUCGAACGGAAAGGCCCUGCUUUUGUGGGGUGCUCGAGUGGCGAACGGGUGAGUAACACGUGAGUAACCUGCCCUUGACUUUGGGAUAACUUCAGGAAACUGGGGCUAAUACCGGAUAGGAGCUCCUGCUGCAUGGUGGGGGUUGGAAAGUUUCGGCGGUUGGGGAUGGACUCGCGGCUUAUCAGCUUGUUGGUGGGGUAGUGGCUUACCAAGGCUUUGACGGGUAGCCGGCCUGAGAGGGUGACCGGCCACAUUGGGACUGGAAUACGGCCCAGACUCCUCCGGGAGGCAGCAGUGGGGAAUAUUGCACAAUGGGCGGAAGCCUGAUGCAGCAACGCCGCGUGCGGGAUGACGGCCUUCGGGUUGUAAACCGCUUUCGCCUGUGACGAAGCGUGAGUGACGGUAAUGGGUAAAGAAGCACCGGCUAACUACGUG